ACGUCACUAUUUAGCUCAGGUUGACGAGCGGCCCUGAUGACGCGUCCAAGAUGGCCGACAGGCCCCUGAGCUGUAACUUCCGCUGCCCGACUGUUCGUGACGAUGGAGACCUGAUGGAAGAAAGGAGACUGACUGAAAAUGUUGGAGGAGCAGCUGGAGAAGAACAAGGCUGAAGACAAGCAGAAGACAGAGGACGAAAUGAACAGAGCUGCUGAAUGAGCAGAGACACUUGAAGGUCUUGGAGAAGACGAGGAGGAGGAUGGAGCGAACAUUUGGGCGCAGUUUCCAGACCUGAGGACGGCAGGUUUCUUCUUCUGCUCUGCGGUUACUCUGAGAAGUAACUUUGACAGUUUGGGGGUGGUUCAGCUUUCGUUAAAUGUUUGCUGUGCAGCUGAAUUUUAAUAAAGAAUAAUUUGGUAUAA